GACGAACGCUGGCGGCGUGCCUAACACAUGCAAGUCGAACGAAGCAUUUAAGUGAAUCCCUUCGGGGUGAAGCUUUUAUGACUUAGUGGCGGACGGGUGAGUAACGCGUGGGUAACCUGCCUCGUACAGGGGGAUAACAGUUAGAAAUGACUGCUAAUACCGCAUAACCCGCUAAGGUCGCAUGACCUGGACGGAAAAGAUUUAUCGGUACGAGAUGGACCCGCGUCUGAUUAGCUAGUUGGUGAGGUAACGGCCCACCAAGUCGACGAUCAGUAGCCGGACUGAGAGGUUGAACGGCCACAUUGGGACUGAGAUACGGCCCAGACUCCUACGGGAGGCAGCAGUGGGGAAUAUUGGGCAAUGGGGGAAACCCUGACCCAGCAACGCCGCGUGAAGGAAGAAGGCUUUCGGGUUGUAAACUUCUUUACCUAGGGACGAAGACGUGACGGUACCUGGAGAAAAAGCCACGGCUAACUAACGUG
rnacentral:rRNA from 1 species